GUGAAACUCUUUAAUGGUGCUAAACAGGGUAUGCCCCAGCAACACCGUCACCCCCAGAAUAUUCUCUUGCGUCGAAGAAGUAUUUUAGGGCUUUGUUCAGGGGUUCUGCCCCGAAUUGCAGAUUACUACACCUACAGGGCCUCCUGCCUCAGACGGAGUUGGCAACAAGCAACUAACACUUGCAAGGAAACCCAUCAACCUCCGGGGAGCUCAGCUGCCACCACGCACGACAGCCACGACUUAAUAAAGGCGUCCUAAGCAGAGGAGGUCUUCUUGCUGGUCUGGAACUUAAAAGCCCCAAGCUCCUGCC
rnacentral:lncRNA from 1 species